AAGUCCUCAAUUCCAUCACAGAACACACUACUUCAGUGUAUCGCGGGAACUGUGUCGAUCACUACUUUCACGGUUCAGUGAUUAUAAGCAGGUGACAGCUCUCAGCGCUCACCAUUUGUCCGGCCAAGUAGUUAAUGUUAUGCGGGAAUCUACAAGAAGUCACGUCAAGCAAAAAAAUACUAUUAUUGACUUUUUUGAUAGAAUUACACACGUUCACGCUCGUAAUUCCUACUGGGGUGAGCAGCGGAAUUGGGAUACAUAAUUUAAAAACAUUACCUUGACAUUUCUUUUUCGGGGUUUUGGUUCUUGUGCUUCUAGCCGAAGUUAAGGAACUUUCCCAAAGGCCGGUCAUAGGAUGGGUGACCACAAAAAAAAGUUUUCAUCUCGAGCUCCUCCGUGCUUCGGAAGGCACGUUAAGCCGUUGGUCCCGGCUGCAUUAGCAGUCGUUAAUAACCAAUAAUCCGCACUGGGCCCGCGUGAUGGUUUAAGGCCCGACCUCCCUAUCCAUCCAUAGGGAAGGCCCGUGCCCCAGCAGUGGGGACGUUAAUGGGCUGAUGAUGAAAUAAAAUAAAAGUUAGGAAUUAGACACAUUGCUUCGAUGUGGCAGUUUAGACCUUCUGGAAAUGAAAGUGAUAAAAUAAAGUUGUGAAAAGUAGUUGCAAACUAAGUUACGUCAAUAUGGACACCAUAAAAGUGGUUGGCGAGUUUGUUAGGGAGAGAUCUCCGUUCUCGCUGGACACAUGGUUCGGGCGGCCCAAGAAGGCCGGCGGCGGGGCCGAGCGCGGGUACGACACGGUGCCCCGCGCGGAGCCCCGCGCCGACGACGAGGAGCCGUCGGCCGCCGCCGAGUAUACCACCAAGAUAGACGCGCUGGACGACAAUCAGCUGCAGCGCCGCUUCGAGGAGAUGCUGUCGGACAUGAAUCUCAGUGAGGAGAAGAAGGCUCCACUCCGGAAGUACUCCCGAGACCAGAAGAAGAAGAUGCUCGUGGCUUACAAAUUCGUCAACACGCAGGAAGGCAGAUCAAAAUUCGAGAAGCCCUCAGACUACGUGUCGUACCUGAACCAGCCAGAGCUGUCAGUGAGCAAGCUGCACAGCUGCCUGGAGAACUUGCGGAUAGCGCUAACCAACAACCCGCUGUCCUGGAUAGAGGAGUUCGGCACCAAGGGCAUCGGCUGCCUGCUUCACACGCUCAACCUCUGCUAUACCAACGACUCCCGAUACGACCGCGUUCAGUACGAGUGCAUCAGGUGUCUGUCGGCCAUUUUGAAUAACACGGUGGGCAUUCGGUCCAUGUUCGAGUGCCGCGAGGCGCUACCCGUGCUGGCACGCAGUCUCGACGCCAGGAAGCCGCACAUCGCGCUCGAGGCCGCCAAGGUGUUAGCUGCAAUAUGCCUGAUCCCGAACGGCCACGAGAAGGUUCUGGAAGCAAUCACAAUGGCCGGCGAGUCGCACCGUAAGCCACGGCUGCUGCCCAUCAUCGAGGGUCUGGAGGCGAAGGCGCCUGAGAGCUUGAAGACGGGCUGUAUGCAGCUUAUGAACGCGAUCAUCACGGAGCCAGAGGAGUUAGAGUUCAGGAUACAUCUGCGGAGCGAAUUCAUGAGAACAGGUCUUCAGGAUCUAAUCGACGAUCUACGCGCAGGCGCGGAAGGCGCACGACAGAUCCAAAUGAAUGUGUUCGACACUCAUGCAGCGGCUGAUCAGGACGAGUUCUUGGCCAAGUUUGAUGAUGUCAGAGUGGACUUCAACGACGCGAACGAAUGUUACGAGCUGGUGAAGAACAUAGUAAUGGAUACUCCAUCGGAACCUUACCUGCUGUCCAUACUGCAACACCUACUAUUCGUCAGAGAUGAUGAACUCAUCAGGCCAGCGUACUACAAAUUAAUAGAAGAAUGUGUGACGCAAAUAGUGCUUCAUAAAAACGGAUACGACCCAGACUUUAGAGCGACGCAAAGAUUCAACAUCGACGUUCAGCCACUCCUAGAAGGACUUAUAGAAAAAUCCCGUGCAGAAGAAGAACGUAAAGUGGAAGAGCUGAAAGCGAAGUUGGAGGCGGCCAUCGCGGCGCGGCAGGAGGCGGAGGCGCGCGCCGCCCACCUCGAGGGCCGCCUCAAGCAGGCGCCCGCCGCUGGCCUCAGCCACUCCAACAUCGCUGCUAUCGCCAAGGCAAUAGGCAGUCCUGGAGGCCCGGCGCCUCCGCCCCCGCCACCUAUGCCUGGGGGGGGCGGUCCUCCCCCUCCGCCGCCGCCGCCGAUGCCUUCAGGGGGUGGCGCGCCGCCGCCGCCGCCGAUGCCUUCAGCCGGCGGCGGGCCCCCUCCGCCUCCUCCGCUGCCAGGUAUGGGCUCCGGUCCCCCGCCGCCCCCAAUGCCGGGGAUGGGCGGGCCCCCGCCGCCUCCACCUAUGAUGGGGGGACCACGUCCCCCGCCGCCACCUGGUGGCUUCAUGAUGCCUAGAAUGCCUCAACCAGACGUCUUGCCACACGGUCUUAAGCCCAAGAAGAAGUGGGAGGUGGAGGGACCAUUGAAACGAGCCAACUGGAAGACAAUCAUCCCCCAGAAGAUGUCUGAAAAGGCUUUUUGGGUUAAGGUACAAGAAGACAAGCUGGCUUCGCCGGACAUAUUGAACGGUCUCGCGCAGAAGUUCUCCAGCAAACCCGUCGCCAAGAAGAAUGAAGAUAACGUCGACAAGGUCCACACACUGAAGAAGGUGAAAGACCUGAAGGUGCUGGACAGCAAGGCUGCGCAGAACCUGUCGAUCCUGCUGGGCGGCUCGCUGAAGCACCUCUCAUACGAGCACAUCCGCACCUGCGUGCUGCGGUGUGACACCACCGUGCUCACGGCCAACGUGCUAGAUCUACUCAUACAGUACCUGCCCCCCGCGGACCAGCUGAAGAGGCUCGCAGAGCUGAAGUGCAAGAGCUCGGAGCUGACGGAGGCGGAGCAGUUCGCGGCCACCGUGGCCGACGUCAAGCGGCUCGUGCCGCGCCUGCGCAGCCUCGCCUUCCGGGAACACUACGCGGAGAUCAUCUCCGAGGUCAAACCGGACAUAGUAUCCGGCACAGCAGCGUGUGAGGAGGUGAAAUCAAGCGGGAAGUUCGCGAAGAUUCUGGAGCUGCUGUUGUUGCUUGGUAACUACAUGAACACGGGGUCCAACAAUGCUGGCGCCUAUGGCUUCGAGAUCAGCUUUCUUACCAAGUUGACAGCGACAAAAGACCUGGAGAACAAGCAGACCCUGCUGCACUACCUGGUGGAGACCAUAGAGAACAAGUUCCCCGACGUGCUCACGUUCGCGGAGGAGAUGCCGCACAUCGACAGAGCCGCCCGCGUGUCAAUGGAGAACCUCCAGAAGGCCCUGAAGAAAAUGGAGAACGACAUCCGAGCGCUGGAGACGGACCUCAACAACUCGCGGGUACCGCAGUGCCCGGACGACAAGUUUUACGAGACCUUGAAUUCGUUCGCAAAGGAGGCGCGGGAACAGAGCGACUUGUUACACUCGAUGUUCCGCAAGAUGGAGGCUCUGUACUCGGAGCUGGCCGAGUACUACGUGUUCGACCCUCACAAGUAUACUCUUGAAGAGUUCUUCUCGGACAUCAAGACGUUCAAGGACGCCUUCGCGGCGGCCCACCAGGAGAACGUGGUGGCGCGCGAGACGGAGGAGCGCGCGCGCCGCGCCCGCGAGGCCCGCGCGGCCGCCGAGCGCGAGCGGCGCGACCGCCAGCACCGGUACAAGCAGUUCGUGGACAUGGAGCGCGCACAGGACGGCGUCAUGGACAGUUUAAUGGAAGCGUUACAAAGCGGUUCGGCGUUCAGCAGAGAACGGCCUAGGAAGAAAGCUAACCCUCGGGUGGCAGGAGAUACACCAUCGAUCAUGCAAUGCGGCCGUCGACGAUGGAAAAUGAAGAGGGAUUCCUCGGCUCGACUAGAGAUUUACAGACAACUGAACGGCGAGCGCAGCUGAGCCGGUCGCGGUCGCGGUCUGGACUCACUGGGCCGCUCACCACACGAGAACUCACCAAUGAACUGCUCAGCAAUGCGUGAUCAGCUCACAGAAGUGAUACUAGUGUCGUAAUUAUAGUUUAAGGCAAAUGAAUUAGAAUAACUUCAUUGAGGACACACCAAGUCGCAAAUAGAAAAAUGGUUCAAAGCAGAGGUAUACAGUAUAGUCAUGAGCAAUAUAAUGUACCCACUUUAGGACUCUGUCGCAUUAACAUAUUUGACAUUUAGUGAGACUUACAGUUCAAUUUGUCAAAAAGUUAAUGUGACAUGGUACCAAAGUGUAUACAUAUUAAUGCUCGUGACCGUACACCCACUCGCCAGCUAUGUUUACGCGUAGAAUCAGCAAUAAUACUACGUAUAGAACGGCAACUCUCCGCUCCCCACCAGCGGCUGAGCUAGGUUUACCUCACCCCCUCGGUCUUACUUUAGUCUUAAUAUGGGCGUCAGACGUCCCACACACAGAUGCGCGUGUACGAUAACGUCAAUGUGUAGUGUCUGUGUGAAACGAGGUUGUUUGUAUGAAGUGUCCGGGGUGUGGUGUGAAACUGUCAAACUGUAUAACUUGGAACCUGACAGAUAGUUUUUGUUUAUUUUGUGAAAUGUGACGUCACACGAAGCUCAAUCAUGGCCGCCCGUGUUUCGGGUCUUGUAGUGCACAGAUAAAAAAACGCGUUUACAUUUUGAAAAAAGAAAAUAUUUAAAAAUGUUCUCUUUUAAAAAAAUCUAUUGGAUAAUUGUAGUUUGUAGUUAUAUGAUAGACUACCAUAUCAGACAUAUUUUAUUGUUACAACUGUCAAGUAGCCAAGUGACCAUCAUGUCAGAAAUGACACAAGCAUCGGUUAUCUGUCGGUUAAUACGACAUGCCCGGGACAGGCAGCUGAACGUGGUCUGUUUUUGGUCCCUCCCAGUCCAGGGUAGAUAUUUUUUUUUGACGUGACUUAUUGUAGAUUUGCCGCAGAUGGCAUUAACUACUUGGCCGGACAAAUGGGGAGCGCUGAAUGCUCUCACCCGGUACAACGUUUAAGACAACAGCCUGAGGGUGCCCAGUUGGGCGCGAACCUCGGCUCAGAGCGUCGUCUGAGGAUAUUUGAAAGAAUUAAUCGACCCUAGUGGGUCGAUAGCGAUAAGCGCUGAAUGAGGGAAAUCGUCAACCACGCCGGCGGGGUCGGUAUCGGGGUCCUGAAGUGUUUGGUGUCGCGAGCUGAUUGGCUGCCUCUAUGGCAGUCCGGGGUAGACGCUUGGUGUGUUCUUCUAAUGAAUGCCAUAGAUUAAAAUACAUUACAGAUUAUGCCUCAUAAAACGUAACAUGAUUACAAUGACAACAGGACGGAGAUACAGGACAUCGCCUAGUGUGAAAGGGACGAGAGAUAUGUAUCUAAUAAUAUGUAAUAAUAAAGUUUAUUCAGGUAAAACCUACGACACACAUAUACAUUUACAACAUUAAAAUAUACACAUUAGGGUAAAUAUCAAAAUGUCAAGUUUGGUGGCGAACUUUCUUAUUAUUUUUUCGUGAAAAAUUGGGUUCCGACAUGAAAAAGGAUAGUUCUAGCUACUAAGGUAACUUGUUCCUCGUAGCUAGAACUAUCCUUUUCCACGAAACUUUACAACUCGAAAUUCUUCAAAAUAAUAUGAAAGUUCGCCACCAAACUUGGCACAUUUUGAUAUUCAACCAUUAAUAUUUAGUUGGAAAACAUAAAGGUAUAUCUUUCGCUUUAGUGGCAUAUACCGUGUGCUGCCUCACGUAUAAGUGCGAACAAGACACAGUUCUUGCUCUCUCCCUCGCUCCUUAGCGAUUCACGUCCAUUUAGGACUAAAGUAAGACCCAGGGGGCUGAGGGGGGCGCCCGUUACGAAAUGGUGCGGAGAGAGCAGUUACCGCUCUAUACGUAGUAUUAUCCUUUAUUCUAUACUAACGGUAUACAGCUUAGUAUGAAAAAGACAAAAGAUAUGUGGCGGACCCAACUAGUUGGCCACCUAAUUCCGCCCAUAUGCAACAGAUGGCGCCACAUUCAAUAAUGCAGUCUUGAAGCAGUCGUGAAACGCGAUAUCGAAGGUUACACAGCAAGACGCAUAUAUACAACUCCCAACACAACACUGUUGGAUCGUCGAUCCCUAGUCACACUACCAACUUGUGGCUAGCGGGGUACUAUGCACAGUUCGGUACCACGAAAACAUCCUUUGGAAAAUAUAUCUCUGAUCAUGCUACGUUUUAAGAGCUUUUCCUUUGUUUCGAAAAUCAUGUCGUAAUUUCUAAAAUCUACAAAAUUGUAUUUUAUUUACGUAAUUCAAUGUCAAAUCUUUAAUAUAUUAUUUUAUGUAUACUGUAUACAAUAUACAUUAAAACUGACGCUACUAGCGCCAAAAUAACUUACGGAUUACCUCUAGCGGAUGAAGACGAUAACUUUUGACAGUUAAUGACAGUUUAAUACAAGUGAUAGAUGUAUAUUUUCUACUUAAAAUAACUUUACUAUUUAACAAAUCUUUUACUUCCAUUAGCUUCUAUUUCUUCACGCUGUGUCUUUAUCAGGGUAGGUAGUGUCACCAGGUAUGUUGUGUUAGAACUGAAUCGAUCGGCCUAAUAUCGACUGAUACAUCACUAUGUGAAUGAACGUCACAACACUGACUUCUUUGCUUUGACAGUUACUAACUUGUACUGCACAUUGAAGCUAUCGUAAAACAUAUUGAAAUAUAAUCUUUUAUUAUAUCCGUCGAUUGACAAUUGUUGAUGUUAAAAUGAAUGAACCCGGGCGAAUAAAAUAGGCUGGUAUGCAACCCGUUUGGCGUGUGCUGACAACUUAAUUUUGUCGAGUUAUUGGCCAAUAUAUAAAUUUGGGAGGGAUUUUAAAAUUCCUGCCUAAAAUUGGCGUGUGAUCCAUAAAUUUUAUGCCUGUCGAUUACCCGUCCCUUUCCUUUUCGGCGGAUAAGAAAAUGACAGAUAUAACUUAAAAUAAAAUUAAGAUGGUGUGUACAGGAAUCAGCACCUUUAUAUGUGAAGUUAAAAUAAAAAUAAUAAAUUUCGCACAAAGAUGUGAUUUUCAUACUCUUAAGAAUCUUAGGGUGGUAUUAAUAAACUAAUCUCAGCUGAGACUGCCCUCAAUACUAUGCUCAAGUCCCUGUUUUUAUAUAAGAACUGUCACUUUGACAUGAUUCAAAUUCAAAAAUAUCUUUAUUCAGUUGGUAACAUAGUUACACUUUGAAUCGUCAAUUUUUACAUAACGAACGUCUCAUCCGCCUAAAACUACUGCAGCUUCUCACAACCUGUAUAGCCGGGGAAAAGAAGCUGCAAGAAAAACCCUCGGCACAGGGCCCUAGACGUUCUUUAAAAAAAAAAAAAAUAGACAUAAAAUAUUGGUAUACAAUUGAGUAAUUUAGCUGCCUAAUAUCAGUUCUCAGACAGUUAAUCCCAUGCAUUCAUAUCUUCUAAAUAAUCACUAACUUUAUAAUAACCUGAUCUUGAGAGCAGUCUCAAAGCUGAGAUUAGUUUAUUAAUACCACCCUUACAAUAAAAAUAUUCUAUAUCAUCUGUGUUGAGCUUAGAGAUAUUAUAGACAGCAGUCGCCUAGGCUAGCUUUAGGCCCGAUUGCCAUUGACGCGGAGAUGGGCGGAGAAGAGCGGAGGUGUGCGCAUUUGACCAAUCACAGCGAUCGAGAGAGCGAAAAAAGAAGACGCUCUGUCACUCUCUCCCUCACGGUGAUUGGUCGAUUCCUGCACAUCUCCGCUCCUCUCCGCACAGCUCCGCGUCAAUGGAAACGCAGUCUUACUCUAAAUCACCUCUGCCACUUUAUGCGGGAUGUAAUGUAUACACCAAUGUAUCCAGUCAGUUUCUUGCAAAGUAAUAAAUUAACUGGUUGCACUUAAGACCUAAGUUACAUGUCGUUUCUGUAAUAGACCAAAAACACCUACAAAAACAUACAUUUUAUAAUUAUGACAACUAAUGGUUCAUAAUUUCACCACUGUGACUGCACUUUUGCUCUUUGAUUCUCGUAAGGAAAAGAAGUCUAUAACCGCAUAUCAAAACAAAACCAUCACACAAAUAACAAAACACAAACCCAUCGUUCAUGUACAGCAGAGGGGAACGCAUGCGCUUAGCAACUCCCGUCUAUAAUAUCUCUUGAGAUGAUCGCCAUUUAAAAUAUUAUUGUAUGUAUAAAAAAAUUAGCAACUCCCGUGUAUAAUUUCUCUAAGAUGGUCGCCAUUUAAAUUAUUAUUAUUUAAUACAAAAAAAUUAAGGUGAAUCGAGGGACUUUCCAGGCGAGGUUCACUAAAAAGAUCAUAUGGCGUUGUUUAGUUUUAAUGCGAUAGUUAAUUUUUAGGAACGUACCCUAUAAAGUGCCUCAUUGACUUUAUGUAGCAGUUUUUUCAUGUGGUAACACUGUAGCUGUCAAAAUGAAAUAAUUAAUGUCAAACGUAUGUCAACAUAAACUACUUAUGGCCCCAAUUCUUGUAUAGAAGUUUUUUAUUUAGUUUUAACUAUGCAUUUGUUCUAUGCUCUACACUGUCGAAUAAUGCUCGAUACACAUCGACGCGGUGCCGGGAGCGUUCCGGGACUUUUAUAUUUGUCGUGGCCAAUUUUACGAUAUGAUUGCCAACGUUUGGCCAUAUCAUGAAGUAAUCAUGCAUUUAGUUGCUCAUAUCGUUAAACGUUUCGUGUUCAUUGAUCUGGCCAAACUACAUCAUGAUGUGGCCAACGUGUGAUAUUCUAACACAUCAUGAAAUGAUCAAUUCUACGAUCUGGCCACGACAUAUAUAUACAUACAUGAGAUCACGCCUAUUUCCCGUAGGGGUAGGCAGAGCCCGCGGAAUUCCACUUACUACGAACCUGCCACAUCCCUUUCGCUUCUUCCAUUUUCACCAGUCUUCAUGCGUGCUCGUCGGUAUUUCUAGCCAUAGAAGCAGCCAAUCAGCUCGCGACACCAAACACUUCAGAACCCCGAUACCGACCCCGCCGGCGAGUCGACGAUUUCCCUCAUACAGCGCUUAUCGCUAUCGACCCACUAGGGUCGAUUAAUCCUUUCAAAUAAUUUUCCUCUCAAAUGACGCCCUGGUCCGAGGUUCGCGCCCAACUGGGCACCCUCAGGCCUGUUGUCUUAAACGUGUGUAAAAAACCGGACCUGUCAAAUGUUCAGGUUAGGUAAGCGGACCCUGCGAAGAUGGGGUAGUUUAUACGCAUGCGUGGUCACACAAAAUUCCGCGGUUUCAUAAUAAUCCCGCUCUCCGGCCGCGGACCGCUUCUAUGUGUAUCGGGCUUAAAAAGAUGUAAAUCUUAUUUUUUGUUUUGGAUAAAUGUUAGUUUUAAGCUUUUUAUAUAUUCGAUUUUAGAUCUAGCUCAGUUAUACAUAGUAUAAUAUACUUCUGUAAAUAUAUACUUAUUUUUGUAAAAUGUUACAUUUUUAUUAAUAAUUAAAAAUGUUUUUUGAAACUA